rnacentral:sRNA from 1 species
GCGGAACCAGGACAACGAAGAUGAGUGGCCCCUGGCCGAGAUCCUGAGCGUGAAGGACAUCAGUGGCCGGAAGCUUUUCUACGUCCAUUACAUUGACUUCAACAAACGUCUGGAUGAAUGGGUGACGCACGAGCGGCUGGACCUAAAGAAGAUCCAGUUCCCCAAGAAAGAGGCCAAGACCCCCACCAAGAACGGACUUCCUGGGUCCCGUCCCGGCUCUCCAGAGAGAGAGGUGAAACGGAAGGUGGAGGUGGUUUCACCAGCAACUCCAGUGCCCAGCGAGACAGCCCCGGCCUCGGUUUUUCCCCAGAAUGGAGCAGCCCGUAGGGCAGUGGCAGCCCAGCCAGGACGGAAGCGAAAAUCGAAUUGUUUGGGCACUGAUGAGGAACUUACCACAUUGCCUGUCCUCUACCUGUGCGAGUUCUGCCUCAAGUACGGCCGUAGCCUCAAGUGUCUUCAGCGUCAUUUGGUAUGAGGGGUCCAGGGAGGCUGCCUUCCCAGCACCACGUUGCCCUUGUUCCUGAUCCUCCUCUCUUCCCCAGACCAAGUGCGACCUACGACAUCCUCCAGGCAAUGAGAUUUACCGCAAGGGCACCAUCUCUUUUUUUGAGAUUGAUGGACGUAAGAACAAG